CACGGGGGGAGCAAGCGUUGUUCGGAAUCACUGGGCGUAAAGGGCGUGUAGGCGGUCAAGUAAGUGGAAUGUGAAAGCCCCCGGCUUACCCGGGGAUCUGCAUCCCAAACUGCUUGGCUUGAGUACGGGAGAGGAUGAGGGAAUUCCUGGUGUAGCGGUGAAAUGCGUAGAUAUCAGGAGGAACACCGGUGGCGAAGGCGCUCAUCUGGCCCGAUACUGACGCUGAGGCGCGAAAGCUAGGGGAGCAAACGGG
rnacentral:rRNA from 1 species